UCCCUUUUCUGCAGACCGCCGAGGUGGGCGUGGCGACACGCACGCGGCCGAUGAGAACCGGUUCUGUGCCCCGUCCGAAGCCAACAGAGUCAUUGGACUAAUCUGGAAGCUUUGCUUUAGACACAACUGACACGUCGCUCCUCUAAUGACGACCGCUGAAAAGAAAGUCCUGCAGUUUUCAGUUUCACAAAACCUCCGUUCCCCGUGAUGAGAUGUUUAAAGUGAAGCGAGGCAAACACUGACGUACACAACAUUUAUUCUUCACAGACGACAAAUAUUGGAUCACAUUUCACAUACAACACUCUCGGUAGCCCUGCUGAACACCUGGACUAAAACCCAAGGCAGAAAUUAGCGAACCUUCAGUUCACAAAACUAUUUACUCAUCUACUCGGCACUGGGUGAACUUGUGCAAGAAGUCAAACUGGAGGAAUGGAUCAUCAUGCAAUAGUCACUGAGCUUUUAAAAUUGCACAUGUCUGCACAAAUAUCUGUUGGUAAAGAAAAGAUGUUAACACCCUUAUAGUUCACAAGAUGAGAAACACUGCAGGAAACACUGGAAACUAAUUUCAACAUGCCUUCAUGCAAUUCCAGUGAACCACUGUAGAAACAGCAGAUGCAGCACGUGGGGGAUCUAUAAUUAUCAUCAGCAGGACUGGAGAAGAUGGGAUUCUGCCCGUUACAGCUGGAGGCGUUGCCCUGUGGACAAUAAACUAUACUGAAAUGAAUUGAAAUAUAAGAACGCUUGCAUUACAGGUUUAACUCUUUCAUGGCCUUCCAAGCCAGGAUUUUCAAAGUGCAUUGGUCAAAGUCUGCCCCUGCCUCCAUAAAAUUAAA